rnacentral:tRNA from 1 species
GCUCGCUUGGUGAAAUUGGUAAACACGGCAGACUUAAAAUCUGUUUUUCCCAUAAAAGGGAAAUACCGGUUCAAGUCCGGUAGCGAGUA